UACUACGGAGAGUUUGAUCCUAGCUCAGGACGAACGCUGGCGGCAGGCUUAACACAUGCAAGUCGCACGAGAACGUUCUGGCUUUGCCAGGACAAGUACAGUGGCGGACGGGUGCGUAUCGCGUAGAUAACCUGCCCUCAGGCGCGGGACAAUCACGGGAAACCGUGGCUAAUACCGCACGUCGUCUGGAUCCCGCAUGGGGACCAGAUGAAAGCCUUCGGGCGCCUUUGGAUGGGUCUGCGUUGGAUUAGCUUGUUGGUGAGGUAACGGCUCACCAAGGCAACGAUCCAUAGCUGGUCUGAGAGGACGAUCAGCCACACUGGGACUGAGACACGGCCCAGACUCCUACGGGAGGCAGCAGUGGGGAAUCUUGCACAAUGGGGUCACCCCUGAUGCAGCCAUGCCGCGUGGAGGAAGACACCCCUAUGGGGCGUAAACUCCUUUUCUGAAUGAAGAAACCCCUGUAGCUUCAGGGCGCGACGGUAGUUCAGGAAUAAGCACCGGCUAACUCCGUGCCAGCAGCCGCGGUAAUACGGAGGGUGC
rnacentral:rRNA from 1 species